CCCGCGCGGAGGUCGCGGCCGUUCCCGCUCGGUGCCGCCGCCGCGAUGUCGUGCCCGGCUCCGGAGCCCGACAGCGGGGCAGAGUCCCUCUCCUCGGAUGAAAAAGAGGUGACACCCAAUGGCUUGGAGGGGUCGGGAUCGGGAUCGGCCGAGGAGCACCCGGAGGGAGAAGCCAGCUCUGAAGACAGCUCCAGCAGCAGCUCGGAAGAGGAGUCAGAUGAAGAACAGGAGGAGAAGGAAUCCCCACCUUACUGCAAUGAGUCAGGUAGGAACAGAUCUCCUCAGGGCUUUUUAAAAUUUUUUUUUUUCAUUCCUGGCUGUUUAAUUAUUUGGCUUUUCACGAGCUCAUGUUCCUCUUUUCCCACUAGGAGGGAGCUGCUUGCUGUCCUGUGAGCACUGCAGGAAUGAAAAUGUAGGUUUGUGAGGGGAAAAAACCCACCCACAUAUUUUGCAUGAGAUCAUUUGCAAACUGUAGUUCUACUCUCUCCUCACCCUUUUAAAGACAAUUUUAAAAAAAUCUAUUUCCAGGACCAGAAGGAGCAAGUGACCCCCAGGAGACUCGCUGGAGGACAAUUUAUGUAUGGAUUUUUGUAAUGUAAUGGCUUUGAGUUUGCAUUGUUCUCAUCAGGGUGCUUCAGUCUUUGGUUGAAGUGGGCAAACAGCUCAUUUGCUGCACAAACACGUUUGGAUUUAUACUGGAAGGGGCACACAAAUCCUUAAAAAUCACAGUUUAGAGCCUGUGCUGCCUCCAGAUCCCAGUCCAGGAGAGCUCCUGGGAGGGUUUUUCAGGCUGCUGCCUGGUCUGGGAUGACCUGCAGGCCCAUUUUUAUGUGCUGCUUUCAUCCUGCCCUGCUUCUCCCUCCCCUUUAACCCUGCAUUUUCCCUGGGAUGCAGCACUGCCCAUCCUCUGUCUGCCCUGGCGUGGUCCCUGUGGGAUGUCCCUGGCUGCUCUCCCUGCUGGGUUGAUGUGGGAUGUGACCCCAGCCCCGUGUGGCAGCAGCUCCUGGCACAGGAAGUUUUAUGCAAAAUGUUCCUUUCAUGCAAAACGUUCCUUUCCAGCUGAUUUGCUGAGGGCUGGGCCAUGGUUAAUGAAAAUACAACCCCCAAAUGAUCUGCUGUGAGAUCAGGAGCAGAGCAGAGCAGGCCCGAGCUUAAUAACAAAGGAGAGACUUUAUUAAAUUACUACUCCCAUAAAAGGGAAAAGAAAGAAAAAAAAAAAACCAAACACCACUAAAUCCAAAAUGGAAACCUUCCAAACCAUUCCUCCUCCCCCCCACCCAAUUCCAACAAACCACAGUGAGACACAACUUGGACCCCCAGUCAGGUUCCCACCCUUCAGAUAAUCAAUACUCAGCCCCUCCUGUGCCACAGACCCCCCAAAAAACACAGCUGC
rnacentral:lncRNA from 1 species